UGUAGAGAAUCUGCCUUUGAGCGGGGGACAACAGUUGGAAACGAUUGCUAAUACCCCAUAUGAGCGUACCUGAAAUGGUAUUCUUGAAAACUCCGGUGCUCAAAGAUGAGUCUGCAUCUGAUUAGCUAGUUGGCGGUGUAAUGGACCACCAAGGCGACGAUCAGUAGCUGGUUUGAGAGGAUGAUCAGCCACAAUGGGACUGAGACACGGCCCAUACUCCUACGGGAGGCAGCAG
rnacentral:rRNA from 1 species